rnacentral:tmRNA from 1 species
GGGGAUGACUGGUUUUGACAGCAAGGGAGUGUUAUUUGUAAGCAUGUCGGGCAAUGAGCAUGCAGCCCGUUAACAACUUGUCUCAAGCCAUAACAGGCAACAAUUUUAACUACGCUCUCGCAGCAUAAUCGAAGUUUAGUAGAUCAUGCCCAAUCCUGCCACAAGGUGGUAGGACGAGACAUCCUGCAGGCGGAUUGCCUUGUUCCUGCCUGAGAUCAGGGUGAAGCAAUACAAGGAUAGUCAGCAUCAGGCUUCGGGAGGCCGAUGAAAAAAAAGAAGCUAAGGCAACAGUAGGCUGUUCUUCGCCGGUUGUUGCACGAAAACCAACGAAGAAAUAAACAUGUAGAAAGCUUUAAUGCUGCUUGUUUGGACCCGGGUUCGACUCCCGGCAUCUCCAC